rnacentral:tRNA from 1 species
GCAGCUGUGGCUCAGUGGUGGAGCACUUGCCUAGCAUGUAUGAGGCACUGAGUUUGAUCUUCAGUACUGCA